CAGUAAUUUACAUUAAAAGCAAACUGUCUUUGGUGAAAGUGCCUUUGAAGUUUUUGCACCCUCAUCCUGGUAUAAAUUGCAGAAUCAUCCUAAAUUAGCUACCUACCAAUAAUGACACAG